GUGCUUGCUUCAGCAGUACAUAUACUAAAACUGGAGCAAUAUAGAGAAGAUUAGCAUGGCCUCUAUGCAAGCAUGACAUGCAAAUUUGUGAAGGGUUCCAUAUUUUU
ensembl:snRNA U6 U6 spliceosomal RNA